rnacentral:lncRNA from 1 species
AUGUUGGCCCAAGGAGGCGAACCGAGAGCUUUGGGAACGCGGAAACGGUUCGCGGCAGCAGGUUCCAAGAGCCACCGGGCCGAGGGCCGAGCCCUAGGGCGACAGCAAGUUUGGGAGCUGGAGCUUCCCCCCCCAAUUUUUGAGAACAGACAACAAGCGGUGAGUGAUUAUUUCAAAAAUCCAAACCAUCUCAUUGGGGGAGGAGAGGGAGGAGGGGGUGACAAAAGAAGGACCCUGUGUUUAGCUUGAGUUCCAGACACCGCUGGCAAUAAAGAGGCCGUAAGAACUUCACGAAGAAGUUUGUGCUAAGAUUCUCACCUCCGGAUAGGCAGAAGGGGCUAAGAGGUGAUAAGGACAUUUGUACUUCUAAGAAGAUGAGAAGAACAGCAAACUGGCUUAAUUUUAAAUGCACUGGCAGAAGAGAUGGGGGAGUGUUGUUGUUAUUAUUACUGCUACUACUACUACUACAAACCUGUUUGUUUCUCUUAGCUCUGCAAGAUUUAGGACUCUUGCCACAAGUGAGGAAGACUACAAAAUCUCAAUUUUUUUUAGGGAGUGUCUGAAAAGGGCAAGGAGGCCUGUAGGAGGAAGGACAGAGGCAAGAAUGUAGAUGUCUGCAGAUUUGGGGGCAGGGUGGGGAAGAGCCAUUCCCAGUGGAGGCAAAAGACAAAAAGAACACCAGGACUUUUCCAAAAGCAGGCGGGUUUGCAACUCUGCGGAACUGCUGACUCGGGGCUUAGGGAAUAAAAUAGAAGGCCGACAGGCGCUCCUUCCUACAAAGGCAGCUUGGAAAACUUCUCUUAACUUCGUGUAGACAGAACCAGCAACUACCCUGUGACCUCUUGGUUAGAAUCCUUGGCUUUCACCUUCUCCCAUCUGGAUGCACCAGGAGAGAAGGGACUGGGAGAACAAAGGUGAGAAAUGGUUCCAGCUAUUGUCUCCCCCCCAGGAAAGGGUGGCUGUGUCUUGCAAAGCUUCCUUUCCACCCUAUAGCUCCCCACUCACAGGCUUGGCUUUGGGCUGAGAAAGGGUCUCAUUCUUCACAGGGAGUGGUCCCUGACCUCCUCCAGCCUCCACUUCUUCCAGGUCCACUAAGUCAGGCUCCCUGGGCUGGAGCAGCCAGUUUCCUGGGGCCCCUGCUGAACAAGGGUGGAGGGGGGAAACCCAGGCCUCUGGACCCUCUGGCAAGGAACCUCAUGCGCGGGGCCUCUAACUCUGAUGUCCCUAGGAUCAGACCGCCUGCCUAGACAGUUGGUGGCUGAGGGAAGCAUGGUGGGAAGAUGAAGAUGGGAGGUGGAAGCCAUUUUUCUGAGUGUAUUCGUAGUGUCAAGAAAAGAAAAUGCCCAAGCCAGACCCCAUGCUGGGGCUCAAGCCAGGACCCUCAGAGAGCAGUUAGGACUGCCUGAGUGUGUGGACCCUGGUUAGAGAACUGCUGCAUUUAACUCUCCGCAGCUUUGGGCCUGGUGGGUCAGGGACUCCCCCACAGAGCUUCAGGGAAACAGCGCUUUGGGUCUUUCUGUCCCCCAGAUUAAAUAGUCAAGGCUGUACCCCAGAGCCUCCAGCUCUCCUAACUGUUGCUACCACUGGCUAGGGUCACUGUGAAAUUAAGAGAAGAGGAGGACUUGUCACUUGUGGGACUGCACGGUUUUGCCCCAAGGGAUAAAAAGAGAGCCCAGAGGGCACCCUGCCCGCUGCGGGCCUGCAGGAGGCUCAGCCUGCAGCUGAGCUGCUGAGGGUAGAGGAGCUUUCCAGAGACAGUAGUGGACCCCUCCCCUCUCUGAGCCUCAACUCUUGUGGUCCCCUCUGGCUACACAGGGAGGUGGGGUACAGUGGGGUGGAAGCAAAAAGGAAGGCUGAGGGGGGAAAAAAAAGCUAACCUGGAGGAAAAUUCCAGAGGAAAUACACCUCCAAAUGUGGUAGGAAAUGGAGUGGGGUUUCUGAGAUCAGAGCCCAUUUGAAAUGUGUAGGAGGCAAUUCUAUUCCAGUUUGGUUUCUUUCUUGCUUUUUUUUUUUUUUUUAAUUCCUUUCUGGCCUAUUACCCCUGUUUGGGGCUGGGGGGGUAGGGGUAAAGGGUAGAACCUGCAUCCCAGGCCACCCAUUUCGUUUUGAGGUGUUGCUGCUGGUUAGGGACCUUCCACACUUCAUGGGACAAAGCAGGGGCAAUGAGGAGUCUAGGUGGGGACCUGGGGGUGAGAAACACUGGAGGGGUCUGAGGAAAGACUUUGAGGUCUGGAAAAGGAGAAGAGAGGUAUUUGUCACCCCGACAGUGAAGUUGUGAUUUAAAGGCAGAGUAGAGACCUGGAUUUAUGAAGGGAAACUUGGGCAACUUACCAUGAGAGAGAGGAAUUGAAAAAGACAAACGGAGCGAACGACUAAGACACAGAGACCUUAGUGUAAUCUAAUAAGGGCAGAAAUUAAUAAUAAAGGUAAAAAUGAGAGAAACUGUCCCCCUUCAUAGACAUCCUUUUCUCCCGGAUUCAGCCCCCCCCCCCAGCUAGAGCACUUGCUCUGGCACUCCCCUCCCCCACUCCUAAUCUGCACCCAGUAAGAGGGGGUUGCUUAAAACCCCUGGAGCAAUCACUGGCUGCCCACCCUUCAAGCUUUUUUGGGGGGAUCACCUCUGUUUCCCUCUUUGCCCCAAAAAACCUUCGAAGAGCUAACGAAAAUUCUCCUCUCAAUAAGGAUAACCUCGCCGGCUUCUUUAAAAUAGAUUUGAUUUCUGAAAUCAGCUUUGGGACAACCAAGGAUCCUGCCCCCUCAUCCCACCCCCAGCCUCAGCCCAACCCCGGGUCAGCCAGCCCCAAAUUCGCCUGGGCCACAGUGCUCCCUGAAAAGCUGGGCCCUGGGAGUCGGGGAGCAAGGCGUUUAGCAUCUCUUUCUUUCUGGUCCG